rnacentral:rRNA from 1 species
CCUACGGGAGGCAGCAGUGAGGAAUAUUGGUCAAUGGACGAGAGUCUGAACCAGCCAAGUAGCGUGAAGGAUGACUGCCCUAUGGGUUGUAAACUUCUUUUAUAUGGGAAUAAAAUGUUCCACGUGUGGGAUUUUGUAUGUACCAUAUGAAUAAGGAUCGGCUAACUCCGUGCCAGCAGCCGCGGUAAUACGGUGGAUCCGAGCGUUAUACGGAUUUACUGGGUUUAAAGGGAGCGUAGGUGGAUUGUUAAGUCAGUUGUGAAAGCUGGCGGCUCAACCGUAAAAUUGCAGUCGAAACUGGCAGGGUUGAGUAUAGUAGAGGUGGGCGGAAUGCGUGGUGUAGCGGUGAAAUGCUUAGAGAUCACGAAGAACUCCGAUUGCGAAGGCAGCUCACUGGACUGCAACUGACACUGAGGCUCGAAAGUGUGGGUAUCAAACAGGAUUAGAUACCCCUGUAGUC